UGUAAGCAACUGCUGUAUCUGGUAUGCCAUACCCAUCAGAACUCAGGUAAGGAUGCCUCAUAAGAUAGGCUUCACUGUGAUCAGCUGGUCUGGGAAUGAAGGAAACGACAUUGCCAAAUAUCUGAUGGUCCACGCGCCCACUGUCAGUGGCUGGAGAUCCACCAGGCAUGUGUCCCUCUCUGACAACGUGAAGACUGGAGAGAGAGCUGAAGUCUGUUCAUGUUGAUGCUGUUGGGUCUUACUUAAAGCUCACUUUUCACAGAAACCAUGUUAAUCAAUACAGCAUCUACAAUCAGGUUGCAUUGGUGGCCAUAAAUAUUUUGGGUGACUCUGUGGAUGGACAUGAAAUGGGGAUGGAAGUGGGCGAGCGUUUGGGCUUGUAUGAUGUAGAGAAACACAGUGCCAUAAAACGAGAGGACUAUGACACAGCCAAGCAGAAAAAGGAAAAAAAAUGGAAGUUUACAGGCUCAAAGUCUACAAACAGCUGGAGGUCCUUGACCUGCUGGACAUCAGUCAGGUGAGCAUCCAUCCGUUCAUCUGUCCACAUAUACACUAAUGUUCAAAAUUUUGGGUUCAAUAAGAUUUUAAAUAAGUAAAGAAAAUAAAUACUU